UCUUAACAUGAAAGGCGGGUACGUUAGCAAAAUACUUAGACAGGUAGCAUCAUUCAAAGACAGGUUCCGAACUAGCUUUUAUGAAACGAACUUUCUUGUAUCAAAAAAGGUCGUGAAAGUAAAAGUUAUAUUCUAGAAAUUGUGACACUUUCCCCAUUUCAAAAUGCAAUAAGAUUAAUUAAACUAUGGCAUAUUUAUUUGUCUAUUUAUUAAAGAACGGACGUUGGAUUAUUUAUCGGCUAGUGAAAAACUUUAAAUUGAAUUUUUAUUAAGUCGGUCAGUUUUUUGUUACGCGAUUGGAAAUACGAAUAAAUCUUGCUGAGAACGAAUUCCAUUAAACAUAAAGGCAAUAUCUUUAUAUACAUUAGCUCAAGAGGAGUCUCCAGUGAAUUAUCUUCUCUUCUGUUGUCGCAAGUCAGACAUAAUUAAAACCCACUUUUACGGUUUAAUUUCGCCUUUACUAUUUUCAUUUUAUUAUUUUCGAUGUUUUUGAUGGUUACUGGUUUCGUGGUCUCUUUUUAUAGAAAUAAUAGUAUAUAAAUUUAAGUGGGUAAUUCAAUUUGCUUUCUUAUAAUAUUCCUUGAUACUUAAAUUGGUAAAGUAAUGUUUGACGGACGGUUCGAUUUCACAGUGGACGAUUUUAUUGCUUAGAUGGGUGGACGAGCUCACAGCCCACCUAGUGUUAAGUGGUUACUGGAGCCCCUAUACAUCUACAACGUAAAUGCGCCACCCACCUUGGGAUAUAAGUUCUAAGGUUUCAAGUAUAGUUACAACGGCGGCCCCACCCUUCAAACUGAAGCGCAUUACUGCUUCACGGCAGAAAUAGGCAGGGUGGUGAUGCCUAUCCGCGCGGACUCACAAGAGGUCCUACCACCAGUAAAAACGGACGGACUCACGAACACCUAAGCUUCAUCGACAUUUGAAUGCUGUACCGCAAUAUAAAAUAGGAAAUGCAACAUUAAACCGUAAAAGUACUUUUAAUUAAUCAUCUUCGUUUAAUAAAACUGAAAUAAGAUAAAAUCCAGACACCGUCUUUACAAUUACAGUCACGCUCACUGAAAACACAAAUUCACAAAUUGAAAUUAAAUCUCAAUUAUUAAAUGUAUAAUGGAAAUAAAAUAGAAAUGAUCUUAAUAUCGCAUGCGGUCGCGAAUCUUGCGCUGUUAAAACUUUAUAGGUGUGCUGAUGUGAGUGUCGGCCAUUAAAAUCAGUUUUAAGCUCAGUGUCGGGCGGGUCACGAUUUGCUGAUCCCGUACUAGUAUGUGAUAUGCCCAGCAAUCUGAUAGGCAUCGCGUUGGCGUAGCUAUCGGAUUCAUCAGCUGUAACUUAACAAACCAUGUGUAUGUAGAUGCUUGUUUAUAGAUGGCGCAAUUCGCUACCGACGCGUAUACAUGAAAUUAAAUGCCUCGUCAUUUUGAUAUUUAUCUAUUCGCUGCUGUCAACCAAUAAAUGUGAUCGAUGAACUAUGAAUAGUAGUUACGUGGUAGGACGUCUUUCGUGUCCGUAUGUAUGUGUAGGUACUACCACUCCGCCUAUUUCUGCCGUGAAGCAAUGCGUUUCGGUUCGAAGGGUGGGGCAGCCGUUGUACUUUAAAAACUAAGAUGUUAGAACUCAUAUCUCAAGGCGUGUAGCGGCAUUUACUUUGUAGAUGUCUAUGGGCUCCGGUAACCACUUAAGACAAAGUUACUUUUGAAAAAAAAAAAAUUAUUUCCAUUUUGCGACGAAAUUAAAUUAAAUGUUCAAAUUCCUCGUAGGCAAAUUAUUUUAUUCAAAUGUUAUAUUUCUAUCACAAAUAAAAGAAAGAUUUUUUUUAAAUUCCUUUGCGUAUAAAAUAAACUAGCACAUAAAAUCUAUAACGUUAAUAUUAAAAAUAUAAUUUUAAUUUAUAUAUUUCAUUUUAGAAUAUAUAUUUUUUUAAUUUGAUAAUAAAAAAUAUAAAAAUACCUAUUCGCGUAUUAUUAACGUUAGUGUAUUUAUUAUCUAUAUUCGUAAUAUCAAGACAUAUCGUGAAGUAUCAUAAAAUAAAUGUGAGAUACAAAUUUAUGAGAUUUCAUGAAAAAGGUUUAAUAUAUUCAGAAUAGUCCAAGAAUGCAACAUAAAAGAGUAUAAAUACGGUAUUGACCGCGUGAAAGAUGAGUGCACGGAAGAGAAAUUUGACGUCGUUGAAGACGAACAACGUACAUAGUAGUUCCUCGGUUGUUUAGAUGAUUUGGAAUGUUGAUGCCGUAAAGCCCAUUUAGGGUCAAGUAGCUCCCAGAAUCCAUAGACACACGAAUAGUGCCGAAUACAAUUGCAUUCCUUGCCAGCGGAGCAAAGUUCAUCCACUGUACUUAACGGUAGGCAGCGGCUUGACUCUGCCCCUGGCAUUGCUGAAGUCCAUGGGCGACGGUAACCACUCACCAUCAGGUGGGCCGUAUGCUUGUCUACCUACAAGGGCAAUAAAAAAAACCCAAUCUAACCAUUGCGUUUAUCCUUAGGAUAUUGCCAUAUAUAUUUUAUGACACACAACUUUAGCCUUUGGAAUUAACAUCCCACGGUGUCUCCUGCUCCCAAUUACAUUUCUUUCCUAAACUACAGUUGAAAAGAUUCUCCAGCGGUGGGAAGCCACGUGGCUGUGGCCUGACGCUCAUUACCGACGCAGACAACUCACCAACAAGUAGACCGUAUUCUUAUUUGUCUACAAAGAUCAUAAUAAUAUUAACUUUAUAAACGACUAGCUGUACCCGUCCACUUUGCUGGGUUUUUAAGAUUAAUAUUAUUAUUUCUAACCCCCCCAAAAUUCUCAUCAUUAACACCCCCGCCCGGUGUAGGAAGUCCAACACUCAUAUAAAUAUUAGCCUAUCCAUUAAGUACAUGUAUUUUCUACAUGGAUACCAAGUUUCAAGUCAAUCGGAUGCAUGGUUCAGUAGUUAUAACGGAACAUCCGUAAAACCACUGCAGAUUUAUAUAUUAUAGUAUUAUAGCAGUGAUUCUCAACCUUUUUUUUUUGUUGCGGCACAUAUUUAACGAUUUCAAAAUUUGGCGGCACACAAAAAAAAAGAUAAAAAUUAUUUACUUACUACAUACAAAAAAUUUUAAUACACGAAAUAAACUAAAAUAUGCUAUAAAAUAUUUUUGUGAAUUUAAAUAUAUAUUCAUGUUUAAAAUAGUUUUCUUUUAAAACGAUAUAAUUUAAUAAUAUUAACAUUAUUAUGUAUAUAUAUUCACAAAAUUUGGCGGCACACUUUUGAAAUUUGGCGGCACACAAAAGUGCCGCGGAACAGUGGUUGAGAAUCACUGUAUUAUAGCAUAGAUAUUAAUCGUUUACUAAAUAUUCACGAUCGAACAAUUUGUAUUGUUUAUAUGUCGAUCUUAAGAAUUAUAGUUUGUUACUCGAUUGAUUUACGAGCUAUAAAUCAUUCGAUUUUUCUUUUUGAUUCAUUAAGACUCAUUGUUACAUCACGACUUUAAAAUUUGAAUGAGUAUAUUUACUAAUGUCUAUCAUAAUUUGUUAUCUAACUAUUUCUUCCUCCCAAAUUUUUCUACUUUAAAUUCUCCUGAAAACUUAGAGAGAAAAUAUUAUCAGAAUUUAUCCAUAAACAAAAGGCAUAAAACAUUUAAAUGAUCUUAAAAAUAGAUUUUUUUUUAUCAUAUUUACUUAAUAUAAAUAAAUUAGAAACCUGUUAUAAUUAUUCUUCUUGAGUGAAUUAGAUUACACAGAUAGAUGACAUAAUCACAACGUAAAAAUUUCUAAUAUUUCUUAAUUUGUUAAUAAUUUUAUUUGGUCAUCCUUUAUUUAUAAUUAAAGUAGAUGCUUGAUUUAAACUACCUACCUCAGUGAUUAUAGGUAGGUACCUAAUUCACUGUGUAUUUCUCACAUAAAAUAUUAUACAAAUUUAAUGUUGCUAGCUUGUAAAUUAGUCUACCACAAUGCUCAAUUAGACUGUGAAACGCGCUGAUUUUAUAUACUACUAGCUGAUCCGGCAGACUUCGUAAUGCCUCAAUCGAUAAAUAAAACAUCUAAGCUUUUGUAUAAAAUAAACUUAAAACAAACAAAAAGAAUCCGUCCGACGGGAGACACGUCAAAGGAAAAACAAAAUUGUUAUUUUUAUAUAAUUCCGAACAUUUUCAUAUUUAUCUACUUUUUAAACCUUCUCUGAACUUCCACAAAUAAUUCAAAACCAAAAUUAGCCAAAUCAGUCCAGCCGUUCUCGAGCUUUAGUGAGACUAACGAACAGCAAUUCAUUUUUAUAUAUAUAGACUAGCGGCCCACUCCGGCUCCGCUCGGGUCUUUAACAAAAAUGUCAACGAUAUUUGACGUUGUUUUAUUUUUUUAAAUAAAAGAACUCUUAAUGCGGCAUAACUAUAAAUAGUUAGACAUACCUAUGCUGCCGCGACACUUUUUGUAAAUAAUAAUGUGUUCUACAAAAUCGUAGUACAUUAUUUUAUUCUAUCAUGAAUACUUUUCGCAGGGCACAAAGAAUAUUUUAGGUAAUUUUUUACACCUUGGAUUGCAUUAUUAGAGUUUUGGUAAAGAUCCUUAAUUUUUUUCAAAAAAGAUUAUAGCCUAUGUCAACUCAAAAGAUUCAAAUUCAAAUCAAAAGAUUUGUAUGUUUGUACAAACAAGCAAACAAAUCUUUUCUCUUUAUAAAACUAGUAUAGAAGUAUAGAUAUAGAUUGGUAAGGUAGAGUAGGAGAUGCAGCGACACAUUUUAUAGUAAUUUCUAACUAAUAUAAUAUUAAUUAUGGUGGUCAAAUCGAAGUUUCCAAAUUCGGCGGUCUCAAGCUAGGAUUUUGUAUUGCGCGUACAAGACACAUAUACAAGACAUUAUAUUUACGGACACACAGAUAGCAAAAAAACAAACUAUUUCUUUAACAAAGAUUCUGGCUCUAAGAAUCGAACUCAUAACGCAUUGAUUUAAUAAAGGACCGCUAUCGAAUUAAAAAAAAAUACCUCUAAAUUCUUAGUACCGUAAAACUGAAUAAAUCCGACCGAAGUAGUAUCAUCGACCUGUUCAUUCAUAAACCUAUUGAAUAAUCACACAAGUAUUAGAUAAUCUAGCCCACAGAACUACACGGAAGAAGCAGGUUACCUAACCGUCUAAUUUAAUCACUGAAUAUCUAAAUACCAGUAUUUCUAAACUAAUGUACGUUUGCAUAUAUUUGAGAUCACGUGAAUUCCGCGUCCUAGUUCCAUUAGAAAAAGUCAUGUGUAUUACAUGACUUUCCAUGUUCUUUAAUUUUAUUGGUCUAGAUGAGCACAGUAGCAUACAGGCCACGUACUGCAGAGCAGGGGGGUGCAACUCCCAUACAAAGGAAAAGAACAUUCAACUAGCGUCAUCUUUAGGAACCGGCGAGGUCAUUUUUGAAACGUUUUGGCCUUAAUGAACUAAUAAACUCACUAGAUGGCAGAUACGAGUUCUGACUCAAUAAAAAAGGUUAGCGUACUUUGAAGCAGUGCUUCCACUUUUAGGGAAUUCUCCCUUUUUUAGGGAAAAAUAGCUGAUAUUUUGGAUGAUAAAGACAAUUUAAAAAAUACCAGGAUUUAGGAUAUUUCGGGGUAAAAAGCAAAGCCUAUACUAGUAACUGUUGUGAAUUUUAAAAUAAACGGUUUUUAAAGUAAAACAAUGAACAUUUUAUUUUAUGGAGAGAGAAUGACAUUAAGUCGAGUUGACAAGUAAAAGAAUAAAACAGAGUUGUGUAUAAAAACUAUAAAGAAGGUUUGAUUCAACAGUGACCCUCUAGUAAAGUAAAUCAUAGAUUAAGCCACUGCUUUUUUCUUAGGGAUUCCCCAGAAUCCCAAUAAGUAUAAUCCGCCAAACUUUUAUUUACCUAUUUUCGUUGAUGUCAUCAGAACUUACUUGUAUUGUAAUAUACAGGUACUUCAUGUACCAUGAAAGCUUAUCAUGGUAAUUUCAUUUACGAAAACCUUGUAAUUGUCAUUUCACUUUUGCUAGCAGUUCCUUCUUCAAAGACUGAGGUGGAAAGAUUAUUCAGUGUUCUCAAAUGUAAAAACUGACAAAAGAAACAGGCUUUCUAAUGAAACCCUGAACGGCUUGCUUCAUAGAAAGUUCCCAACUUUGCCAGCAAACAAUUGCUCAAUUUUAGAACCGAACAGUGUUAGGUUGCGUGCAGCAAAAGAAUAUAAAAGCAAUGCGUCGACUUCCUUGAAAAUUCUAAUCCUAUAGAUCUAUGAUCUUCUGGGGGCGUUUAUAUUAUAUAUACCUACAUUAAAUAAUAUGCUGUGGUUUAUUUUCUGUAUUUUAUUUAUGCUUUCUAUAUAAAGGAUUUAUGAAAGUUGUCUAGGAAAUUUUAGGGAUAAAUUCAAAAGAAACUAGGGUAAAAUGUGUUAAAAAAAACGUAAGUGGAAACACUGCUUUGAAGUUUUCAAAAUUCCAGGGCCAUAAAACAAUCUCAAAAAAAAAAAAAAAAAGUUUUCAAAAUGUCGUAACGAUUAAAUUUUUUAAAUCGUUUUUUUUUGGUCUUGGUGUGAGUUAUUUUACGUUGUAGUAUUAAUUUAGAGCAUCUUUUAGCUUUAUGAGAAUAUUAGACGAUUAGAUAUUGAGAAACUCUGUUUUGAAUUCUCUUUAGACAUAACUUGGUUCCAAUACUUUUUUCUUCGUUAGCGUUUCGUAAGCCUGUGUAACUAUUUUCGUUUCUUACAGAAAGUUUAUUAUUAAAAAUCAGCAUGCCUCGAAGAUCGAAAAUGAAAUACUAUUUCGGAUGCCUUGAUAACGACAAAGGUUUGAUAAUGACAAAAUUUUAUGGAAAAAUUAUAAGGAGCACUAAAAUGUCUGAAACAUGAAAAGAUUGAUGCACUAUAUUUGAACCAGAAUGUGUUAUGUAAUAUAUUAAUUUAAGAGAAACUGAUUCAGCAAGGAAUGUGAACUCACAAGGGAUCUUAAUUUUUUUUAAAUAUGUUUAUAAUUUAUAAAUUAAUAAUUGAAAUAGUUCAUAAGAACUAAAUUGAUGCCAAUUUUGUUUUAAAAUAGGUUGUUUAGUUCUUAUAGUUAUACUAUAACGUUUGAAUAGUUGUAAUUAGUAAGUUAGUAAUAUAUGAAAAUACUGAUAUAAAUUUUUGUAAAUAACCUUUUGUAAAUUCUACGAGAAGAUGAUUUUAAUUAAUGAUCAAAAGUCAACGGUCUUUAAAAGCAUUAUUUGCAAUUAUUUAGAUUAACUGUGGAAUAUAUUUGCUAACUUGUGUUUUCUGUAUGAGCAGAUAUAAAUGAAAAUGCCCAAACAUGAUUAUGUUUCUUACAUUUUCAUUAUGUGAAAUCAAUAUGCUUGUGACUGAGUAUAUUAAUAAUUUAUUAAAACUUAAGUGAUAGACAGCAACCCCUAUGACACUGCUGAAGUUUAUAAGCACUGGUGACCACUUAUCAUGAGCCGGGUUGUGUGCUCGUCUGCUGUUGAGUGCAAUAAAAAUUUUCGAGACCCUUUCUAUUAUUUAGAUGUAAUAUUAAUGUACAUUUAAUUUGGAUUAAAAGAUAAAUUUACAUUUUAUGUUUGCAUGUGUAUGUUUAUAAUUCAUUUGCAUCUAACGAACAUCAGUUUCUUUUGUAACAAAAUGCAAACUAAUGGUUUGUAAUGAAUGUAAUUAACUUUAAGAUGAUUUUCUUUCAAUCUGCUGUUUGUUUCAUCUAGUAUUACCAAAGCUAAAGCAUCAGAAACGUCAGAAUAGAAAUAAUUUAGAUAAAGAAUAAAAGUAUAACUAUUGUAAUCAUGUCUAAGAUUACUAUAAGUGUCAUUAAGUACAAACUAUCAAUAUUUAAGAGUACUUUAAAUCAUCAUUACAUUUUUUAAACAUUUUUUGUUUUUUUUUUGUUUUUCAAAUCAUGUAACAAAACGUUUGUGCAGAACAAAAUGUCACAUGUUAUGAACAUGAUUGUGGGUUAAUCGUUUCUUAAAUUUCUAAAUGUUUAUAAGAAUGCUAAGAAUAAUUUAGUAUUCACUUUAGUGUGUGUAUUAUCUCUACAAUGCUAGUUUAAAUGACAAUUAUUGUAUGACGAAGCAUAGGUAGUAUUUAUAGAUGUAAUAUUUUCAUACAAGGUCAUGAUCUGUCACGAUCAACUUUAAGCAAGAACUGCUAUCAUUAAGAAACAAAUUUAUUAAAUUUAAUUCAAAUUGUCUACUAUGUUUAUAAUGAAAAGCUGACAUGUUUAUAUUUCGCACAAAUGACUUAAUUGACAUUGAAUGAUUUGAUUAUCUAGACGCUAAGUACGCUAGUAGGAUUAAUCUAGAGGAGUUAUUGUUAUUCGAAGUUUUAUACAAUUGUACGUUCAUACAAUCUUUUAACCGAAAAUUGUUUGUAAUAUAGGGAAAUUAAAUAGCUUACAGAGAA